CAAAAGGAGUCUACAAGAAUGUCAAUAUCGAGAUAAGAUGGCGUCUACUUCCUCUGGUAAAACACCUAAAGGAAUCUUAAAACAGACUAAUUCUUUGGAGGAUCAGAGUGUGGAGGUGCAUUUCGAUGAAAUGAACAUUUUGCAAACAUAUCAUCCAUCAAACAAAGAUUAUGGUCACAUGAAGAUAAAUGAACCGCCAACGCCUUACAGUUAUUCUUGUGAAGAUUCUGAUACUGAGUCCAAUGAAAAACUAGAUCCAAAAAAGUUGGCAGAAAAAAUGCAAAAUGUUGAAUCAACGUCUAAACAUGAAUCGUAUGACAGAAAUGAAAGCAGUUCUGAUGAAGAUAUGGAUCUGACAGAAGAAGAAAGAAAUCUUAGUCUUCAAUCUAUAUUUAUACAAGAACAAUUUACCUGUAACCAACGGAUGCCACCUUUUCUUCUUCUUCAUUAUCUUCAGCAAUGAAAGGAUUUGGUUUAUCAAACUUCUCCUUUUCCUCUGAGCGUUUUAAGACUUGCUGUGAGAAAUUUUGGUUUAUGAAAGUUGCUUCCAGACCAAGGAUCAUCAGUCAUUGUGACUUUAUGGAAAAUCCUGUUUUGCAAGGCAAGUGGGACUUCAUUCUUAAUGUUGACACGAUCAUAAGCCUUGUCAUAAUAUUCCAGUUCACCACAUUUUACCCUAUUUAACAAAGCACAGAAAUGGAGAGAUCUUCAUAAACACAUAAAAACAAGAUAUUAUAACCUUCCACUCUUCCCGAAUCAUCACAGACGCAUUACGUAUCCUUUGAGGAGUCUACAUAUAAGUUAAACAUAUAGAUAUAAAAUUACAGUAUAUCCAUAAGUGUACCAGUCAUGUUACUAUAUAUUUAUUAUAUAUCCUCUGAGGAGUCUACAUAUAAGUUAAACAUAUAGAUAUAAUAUUACAGUACAUCCAUAAGUGUACCAGUCAUGUUACUAUAUAUUUAUUAUGUAUCCUCUGAGGAGUCUACAUAUAAGUUAAAUAUAUAGAUAUAAAAUUACAGUAUAUCCAUAAGUGUACCAGUCAUGUUACUAUAUAUUUAUUAUAUAUCCUCUGAGGAGUCUACAUAUAAGUUAAACAUAUAGAUAUAAAAUUACAGUACAUCCAUAAGUGUACCAGUCAUGUUACUAUAUAUUUAUUAUGUAUCCUCUGAGGAGUCUACAUAUAAGUUAAACAUAUAGAUAUAAAAUUACAGUACAU